CCAACACGGGACUCAGUCAACCUUGCGCCCUGUGUACCGUCCCACACCAGCCCCUGUUUUCCACCUGGGUGCUCUAGCCACCAGCUCCUUUCCCUUCCAGCUCACCUGGUUUUGAGCCACGGUCCCUGCCAUACCUAACCUCCCAUCCAGUACCUUCUGCUUAUCAGAGGAGCCAGGACCCACCUCCCACCUGGGAAGGGCCACCUCAGGCACUGGGUCUAGCCCAACAUCCCCAGGGGCUCAACCACCACCAAGGCCUGUAGAGGUACUGAGAGGCCUCAGCCCUUUCAGCCUGGCCUGGCAUUGGGCCUCUGACUCCCCCUGCUGGCAACCGGGUUAUGGCAGCUUUGUGAGCCACAGGGAUCCAGGGCUGCUGGGUGGGAAAGUAUGAUAUUGCCAUCCAUCAGUAGAUCAAAUAUUGAUCUUUCUCUUUGUGCCAGAACAUAACAAGCUCCGUCUCUGCCAUCAGGAAACUUUUAGUGCACCGCCAGUGAAUUGAGGAUGAUAGAACACAUCAAAUUCAUGGUAACUGGGCAAACAGUGAAUCGAGUGAGAUCAGCAUUGAGAAGAGAAGAAACUUCACAACAACAAAAAGAAACAAACAGAAAGAACUUCACUAAACAGAAUAAUAAAGCACAUGAAUAUGAAAAGUAAAAUCCAGCAUGUUGAAAACUAAGGUGAAAAACAAAUGAACACUUAGUUUUCACACAAGACCAUCCCUACAUCCAUCUGCCACGUCUAAUCCUGGAGCUCACAGUACCAGCAAGGGCACAGGUGAGCAAAGAGCUGAACGUAUGCGUGAAGGUGAACAAGAAAGGGGUAAGGUGUGCAUAAGCCAGGGGACAACUUUGGGUCCCCGCAGUAGAUGAUGACACUCUUGGGAGAUGUCUUCACACAAAAGGAAUGUAGAGAGCCCAGAAAGCCAGUCCUGAAGAGCUCCACAGAAGCCCAGGGAGUAAGGCAGAGUGGUCAAGGACAUCCACCACCCCAGGCAAGGAUGUGUGCCCUCAAGAGACAGUGUCUGAUGAGUUAGUCUUCCCCCUUACACCUGACGGAACCAUUUAACAUAGUAUGAGAUAUAUUAGGAAGAAAAACUAUUACCUUACGAUGCUAUAGCAUCAUGAUCACAGAACUGCUUGAGGCUAUAUAUUUCC
ensembl:lncRNA